rnacentral:rRNA from 1 species
UUGUCCUACGGGGGGCAGCAGUGGGGAAUCUUCCGCAAUGGGCGAAAGCCUGACGGAGCAACGCCGCGUGAUCGAAUGAAGGCCUUCGGGUUGUAAAGAUCUGUUGAUAGGGACGAAUAAGCAAUGCGAAUAGUUUUGUGUAUGACGGUACCUGUUUAGAAAGCUCGGGCUAACUACGUGCAAGCAGCCGCGGUAAUACGUAGGGAGCAGGCGUUGUCGGGAAUUACUGGGGGUAAAGGGGGCGUGGGGGGGCGCUUAAGUCAG